rnacentral:sRNA from 1 species
AGCGCAACGGGAUCCACCGCGCGGGUCACCACCAGGUAGUCGCGGAUCACAAUCGCGUGGCGGUUCUC